AGCGAGUAAAACUACUGCGGAGCAAGUGGGAUGUCAUUAAGUAGACUACCUUAGAGUUUGAAGAAUCAGUCGGGCCGAGGCUGCAGUUGUUAUAUCCACUGAUGUAACGGGAUUGUCCCUCUUGUACCUACCAUCAACCCUUACCCCAGCGACGAAAUUUGGUCGUGUUUGGCAUGGCAUUGAUGGAGAAGCUGACAGAGAAAGGUGAAGCUUCAAGGCUGUUGGGUGCAGUAAUCUGCGAGCGUCAGAAACCCCCUAACACUUCAGGGUGUGAAAAGUGCUCUAGAGCAAGGGUGUUGGUGGUCCAGAGUAAAGGAUGGGGAUGAAGUGAAUGUUGAGGAUGCCAUGGGAGGACAAGACCGGCAUCUUCCCCUGAGCCUGGUUCAACUUAUGCAUAGUAAAGAUGUCCUGGGCAAGGGCUGUUGUACAGUUAAUGCAUGUUAACGGAACAAAACGCACUCCAGGUUUUGGCUGACGGGUGAUUGUAUGGUAGGUGGUCUAAGCGGUGGUGUAAAAGCAGAGUAGCAUUAGUAAAAGCACAUGGAUAAGGUAAGCACAGUAGAGCAAAUCACUUCUUAGCAAUGUUGGUGCAAAAGAAGCAGCAGCAUCAUUCUGUGUAGCACCAUUUUGAAUGAACGGAUGGAGGAAUCUGCUGUCCUGUUGAACAGAAUGUUCAUACACACACACACAGCUUCCUAACAGCCUGUCAAGCAAUGUUGCCAGUCUCAGAUAUGUAACUGCCAUCAAUGACUGUUGCUCAAAGAGAGCCAUAUUUAAUCACUCUUACACUGUACUUGUGAGCUGACAGCUUGGUGAUGAGGCAUGGUCUGCACUAGGGCUGCAACUAACGGUUAUUUUAAUAGUAAUUUAAUCCAUCAAUUAUUUUAUUGAUAAAUGGAUUAUUGUUAUCAAUAACAUUUCCGGAAAUGGUGAAAAACACGCCAAAGAUAUUUAGUUUACUAAAGUUGAAAGUAUUCAGGUUUAAGAAGCUUCAAUCAGAGAAUUUUUGAGUAUUUUCCUUAAAAAGUGACAAACCGAUAACCAAAAUAGUUGUAAAUUAAUUUAACAGUUGACAACUAAUCAAGGUCAUCACACUUCAAGACUGGCUCUCAAUGGAUGGUAGGGACUGGGGAAGAUGGCUGACCUAUUCAUCUGUUAGUUUUCCUGCCCACACUGUCUGUUUAUACAUCUGUCCACUCUGUCUGUCUUUCUCACUCAUAUGAUCUUUAAUGUACGUUAAUAAAUCCACUGUGUUUUUAAUGGGUAACUGGUGAUGUCUUCAAACGGAGCUGGGACCAAAGUGCUAUUAAAACUUCGCAAUGUUUAAUUUGCUCCCCAGAGUCAUACACACCCUCUCCCUCACACACUCACCCAGACACACACACACACACACACACACACACACACACACACACAAGCAUGCUUUGGUGAACAUUCAACGCUGUCGGUGAGUUUGAUGUGAAGUGUAUGAAACCAUCGACCGUUGAUUGUACCCCACGGCCUGGAUUUCCUGCGCCGGAAAAUCAGCACAUGAACCAGGAAUAUCAGUACCCUCAACACCUGAUAAUGUGUGAAAUGCAUAAGGUCUACAAGGCUUGAAAUAUGAAGUGUGACUUUAUGUGUGUGUGUAUGCAAGUGUGUGAGUGCAAGAGUGAAUGAGUGGAAUAGAGAGUAUGCUGCUUGAGUAUGUGAGUUUGUGUGUGUGUGCAUGUGUGUGAGAGAGAGUGUAUAUGUGAGUGUGUGUGUAUGUGUUCCCUUUCAUGUAUUCAGGAUAAGAAUGCCCUCCUGUUAAAAGGUCACAAUCAACAUUCAUUGCUGUCGGUGGGUUCAACACAGUGGAAAGCUCACCGAACAAUGAGUGCAACUGUGUCCCAGAUUCUCUCGCUCUCUCUCCUCUUCUCUUAAUGUCACAGAGCCCUAUCGCCACCAGAUGCAUUUUUAUUUAUUCAUUUCUCCAUGUUAGCCUGGUCUUCAGGAGGUUGGCUGUCACCGAGGAGGUGUGUGUGCAUGUGUGUGUGGUUGGGGGGCGCUCGCCUCCUACCCCGGAUGGUGUAAUUGAAGGUUGUGGUGGUGGAAGGAAAUGAGGGAUGAAUGUGUAAUCAUCUGGAUUUUCAUCUCAUCUGGCCGCUUUGUUCUGCGUUUUUUAUUUGUCAAAUUACAUGCUGUGUGUUUGUAUGGCAGCAGGCCGGAGAGGAACCAGGAACUAAUUGGCCUAUGCUUUUCCAGCACGACUUCCUCAGCUGUCGCUUUUGUCAGCGAUAGCCCUCCUCUUCCUCCAAUUUUAUGUUUCCGUCUAUGAGUGUGUGUGCAUGUAAGUUCGAGAUACAGCAGCAAAUGAGUAGCACUGAUUGAGCCCCAUAGCCAGUAGCUCGCUAGUCAUCCGCUGUGACUCAUCUCUAUUUCAUGCAGGGCUGGCAGGCUCGUUUGUGGGUCAAUGGGUUAUGUGUGCUCCAGGCAUGUUGGCUAGUUUCCUAAGACUGGGAGACUUUGAAACCCAGACAGAGAGCUUCACCUAGAGCAUUCUGGAGCAUGUCAGAGAAAACCACUUGUCAUUUAGUUGAAAAGGAGGAAUAAAGUGUAAUGUACAGCCUUCAGCGCACAGUGGGUGGUAUUUUGGUAUUUUGCACAAGCUUUAGCAGGCGAUAAUGCAAUAAAGAUAUAUAUUAUGAAACAUCUAACACCUAGGCUAUAAUUAUUCAUAGGUGAGGCAUCACACAUCAGAAUGGGUAUCAAAGGAGGAUUUUUUCUCAUCUGCUUUUCCACAUAAAAAUAAUGUGUCUUGUAAUUGUCUUGUAAUGGCUGAGCAAAAUAAAAUGACACUAACAAAUGUUAAAUGUCCAGUUAAAUACUGUUUUGUGACUUGAAUAAAAUCUGCUAAGUACAUUUCAA